rnacentral:snRNA from 1 species
AUCGCUUCUCGGCCUUUUGGCUAAGAUCAAAGUGUAGUAAAGAGUUAAAUAUAAUGUGCAUAAAAACUUAA